CAGCAGCCGCGGUAAAACGGAGGGUGCAAGCGUUAAUCGGAAUUACUGGGCGUAAAGCGCACGCAGGCGGUCUGACAAGUCAGAUGUGAAAUCCCCGGGCUUAACCUGGGAACUGCAUUUGAAACUGUCAGACUGGAGUCUUGUAGAGGGGGGUAGAAUUCCAGGUGUAGCGGUGAAAUGCGUAGAGAUCUGGAGGAAUACCGGUGGCGAAGGCGGCCCCCUGGACAAAGACUGACGCUCAGGUGCGAAAGCGUGGGGAGCAAACAGGAUUAGAUACCCCUGUAGUCCCUGUCUCUUAUAC
rnacentral:rRNA from 1 species